rnacentral:piRNA from 1 species
UAGACAAUUGGUGGUCAUGAAAUGGC